GAUAAACGCUGGCGGCGCACAUAAGACAUGCAAGUUGAACGGACUUAAUCGAACUAUUUAUCUUUUGAAGCGGUUAGUGGCGGACUGGUGAGUAACGCGUAAGGAACCUGCCUAUUAGAGGGGAAUAACAGUGAGAAAUCAUUGCUAAUACCGCAUAUGCCAUAGAUAUCACAUGAUAACAGUGGGAAAGGAGCAAUCCGCUAAUAGAUGGCCUUGCGUCUGAUUAGAUAGUUGGUGGGGUAACGGCCUACCAAGUCGACGAUCAGUAGCCGGACUGAGAGGUUGAACGGCCACAUUGGGACUGAGAUACGGCCCAGACUCCUACGGGAGGCAGCAGUCGGGAAUAUUGCGCAAUGGAGGAAACUCUGACGCAGUGACGCCGCGUAUAGGAAGAAGGUUUUCGGAUUGUAAACUAUUGUCGUUAGGGAAGAGAAAGGACAGUACCUAAGGAGGAAGCUCCGGCUAACUACGUG
rnacentral:rRNA from 1 species